AGUGAACGCUGGCGGUAGGCCUAACACAUGCAAGUCGAGCGGCAGCACAGUAAGAGCUUGCUCUUACGGGUGGCGAGUGGCGGACAGGUGAGGAAUACAUCGGAAUCUACUUUUUCGUGGGGGAUAACGUAGGGAAACUUACGCUAAUACCGCAUACGACCUACGGGUGAAAGCAGGGGAUCUUCGGACCUUGCGCGAUUGAAUGAGCCGAUGUCGGAUUAGCUAGUUGGCGGGGUAAAGGCCCACCAAGGCGACGAUCCGUAGCUGGUCUGAGAGGAUGAUCAGCCACACUGGAACUGAGACACGGUCCAGACUCCUACGGGAGGCAGCAGUGGGGAAUAUUGGACAAUGGGCGCAAGCCUGAUCCAGCCAUACCGCGUGGGUGAAGAAGGCCUUCGGGUUGUAAAGCCCUUUUGUUGGGAAAGAAAAGCAGCAGGUUAAUACCCCGCUGUUCUGACGGUACCCAAAGAAUAAGCACCGGCUAACUUCGUG
rnacentral:rRNA from 1 species